rnacentral:rRNA from 1 species
UACGUAGGGGGCAAGCGUUGUUCGGAUUUAUUGGGCGUAAAGAGCGUGUAGGCGGUUUGGUAGGUCCGUUGUGAAAACUCGAGGCUCAACCUCGAGACGCCGAUGGAAACCAUCAGACUAGAGUCCGGGAGAGGAGAGUGGAAUUCCUGGUGUAGCGGUGAAAUGCGCAGAUAUCAGGAGGAACACCGGUGGCGAAGGCGGGUCUCUGGGCCGAUACUGACGCUGAGGAGCGAAAGCGUGGGGAGCGAACAGG